UAAUACGUAGGGGGCAAGCGUUGUCCGGAUUUAUUGGGCGUAAAGAGCUCGUAGGCGGUUCCGUAAGUCGAGUGUGAAAAAUCUGGGCUCAACCCAGUGGAGCACUCGAUACUGCGGUGACUAGAGUACGGUAGAGGAGUGUGGAAUUCCUGGUGUAGCGGUGAAAUGCGCAGAUAUCAGGAGGAACACCAACGGCGAAGGCAGCACUCUGGGCCGGUACUGACGCUGAGGAGCGAAAGCGUGGGGAGCAAACAGGAUUAGAUACCCUGGUAGUCCACGCCGUAAACGUUGGGCACUAGGUGUGGGGAGGAAUCAACCCUCUCCGUGCCGUAGCUAACGCAUUAAGUGCCCCGCCUGGGGAGUACGGCCGCAAGGCUA
rnacentral:rRNA from 1 species